UCCGGCUUGACGCCGGCAGUCUCGUUAGAGUCCUCAGCAUUACCUGUUAGCAACUAACGACAAGGGUUGCGCUCGUUAAUGGACUUAACCAAACACUUCACAGCACGAGCUGACGACAGCCAUGCAGCACCUGUUCACGUUGUACUCUUGCGAGCCUCAUACCUGUUUCCAGAUACUAAUCCGUGUAUGUCAAACCCGGGUAAGGUUCUUCGCGUUGCUUCGAAUUAAGCAACAUGCUCCACCGCUUGUGUGAGCCCCCGUCAAUUUCUUUGAGUUUUAGCCUUGCGACCGUACUCCCCAGGCGGUACACUUAUCAAUUUCUCUACGACCAAUACGACGUCAGAGCCGCAUCGGUCUAGUGUACAUCGUUUAGGGCGUGGACUAC
rnacentral:misc_RNA from 1 species